CGUCUAUAUACGUAUAGCAUAUCAAUAAGCGGAGGAAAAGAAACUAACUAGGAUUCCCUCAGUAACGGCGAGUGAAGCGGGAAGAGCUCAAAUUUGAAAUCUUCAAGGUUUUACCUUGACGAAUUGUAGUUUAAAGAAGUGUUUUCUGUUGGAUGUUUGGUAAAAGUUCUUUGGAAAUAGGACAUCAUAGAGGGUGAGAAUCCCGUAUUUGACCAUUACUUCCAGCGUUGUGAUACACUUUCAAAGAGUCGGAUUGUUUGGGAAUGCAGUCCAAAAUGGGUGGUAAAUUUCAUCUAAAGCUAAAUAUUGGCGAGAGACCGAUAGCGAACAAGUACCGUGAGGGAAAGAUGAAAGGAACUUUGAAAAGAGAGUUAAACAGUACGUGAAAUUGUCAAAAGGGAAGCGUUUGACACCAGUGUUGUUUUCUCGAAAAUCAAUUAAAAAUGGUGGGAUUUUGUGUUGUAUUGACUUUAUCAGCUUUCUGCACUUUUUUCCUAGUCUUUUUUAAUGCACUUUUCGUUUAACAAGUCAACAUCAAUUUCUUUUGCUGUAAAAGGGUCAUUGGAAGGUGGCUUUCUUUUCGGAGAAAGUGUUUAUAGCCUUUGACUUCUGCAGUCGGAGAGAUUGAGGUCUGCAGCGUAGAUCCUUCGGGGUUAGAUGCAUUUGUGCUAAGUUAUAGCCUUUCAUAGACAACUUGUUGACUAUGAUCAGUCAUGUAGCUUACUCGCUUAUGUCAUUUUACCUACGCUUAGGAUGUUGACGAUCAGCUGAGCGCG
rnacentral:rRNA from 1 species